rfam:Myotis brandtii contig206357, whole genome shotgun sequence.
GGCGGUUCUCGGGGGACACACCCCGGAAUCGGGCUCCCUCCUCUUAGGUUCCGGGUGUGUCACCCGAGAACCGCA